rnacentral:sRNA from 1 species
AUUUUUUUAAGAGCAGCCUCUGUUUUUUUUUUCCUACUAUUAUUUUUGCAACAUUUAAACCAUACCUAUGAACCUAUAAUAAUAUAUAUAUUAAGAGCAUCUCCAUCGGGAGUUUCUGGAUCAGAAUGUCUAUUAAAACAGAAUAAAAAAUUCGAAAAAGGUGGAGAGAGAGUAAAAACGUUUCUCAUUUGAGAAACUCAAAGAAACCUAUUUUUGCUUUUGUUUUGUUUUGAUUGGUUCAAAAAAUAAUAAAAAA